rnacentral:rRNA from 1 species
AACGAACGCUGGCGGCAUGCCUAACACAUGCAAGUCGAACGAGAUCUUCGGGUCUAGUGGCGCACGGGUGCGUAACGCGUGGGAAUCUGCCCUUUGGUUCGGAAUAACAGUUGGAAACGACUGCUACUACCGGAUGAUGACGAAAGUCCAAAGAUUUAUCGCCAGAGGAUGAGCCCGCGUAGGAUUAGCUAGUUGGUGUGGUAAAGGCGCACCAAGGCGACGAUCCUUAGCUGGUCUGAGAGGAUGAUCAGCCACACUGGGACUGAGACACGGCCCAGACUCCGACGGGAGGCAGCAGUGGGGAAUAUUGGACAAUGGGCGAAAGCCUGAUCCAGCAAUGCCGCGUGAGUGAUGAAGGCCUUAGGGUUGUAAAGCUCUUUUACCCGGGAUGAUAAUGACAGUACCGGGAGAAUAAGCUCCAGCUAACUCCGUGCCAGCCGCCGCCGUAA